rnacentral:rRNA from 1 species
GAUGAACGCUAGCUACAGGCUUAACACAUGCAAGUCGCGGGGCAGCAUGGGGGUUGCUUGCAAUCCCCGAUGGCGACCGGCGCACGGGUGAGUAACGCGUAUCCAACCUGCCCUUCACCACGGGAUAACCCGGCGAAAGUCGGACUAAUACCGUAUGUUGUCCAUUGACGGCAUCCGAUUUGGACGAAAGGUUUGGCGGUGAAGGAUGGGGAUGCGUCUGAUUAGCUGGACGGCGGGGUGACGGCCCACCGUGGCGACGAUCGGUAGGGGUUCUGAGAGGAAGGUCCCCCACACUGGAACUGAGACACGGUCCAGACUCCUACGGGAGGCAGCAGUGAGGAAUAUUGGUCGAUGGGCGUAAGCCUGAACCAGCCAAGUAGCGUGCAGGAUGACGGCCCUAUGGGUUGUAAACUGCUUUUAUGCGGGGAUAAAGUGGCCCACGUGUGGGUUUUUGCAGGUACCGCAUGAAUAAGGACCGGCUAAUUCCGUG